GUGAAAUAUUUGAUGCUGCAGGAUGUAGAGCAUCUUCAAUGUUUUUAAGAGUUGAUUGAUGUUUUGAUUUUAUAGUUGUCGAUGCUGAGAACACCGUUUAGGGCCAUUUCAGAAAUUCUUGGAAAUUCUUCCCUAAUCCCAAGCCAAAAUUCAUUAAUGAUUUUGUAUGUACAGUAAAAACACUGCAAUUCAUGACAUAGAAUAAUCUCAAAUCUAAGCUGAGGUGUUUCUAGCAGCAUUUGUUGGGAUUGUGAGCCAUGACAGCACGCGCAGUGCAAGGUGUGCACGCUGUGUGUUCAGAACGAAGGCUGCAGUGACGUUAUGCGAUGCAACACAGGCGAGCUCUGCCAGAAGCACCUCGGGUUCAUUACGCAUUUGAUUUUGAAUUAAUUUUUGGUCAAUGAGGAGUUCAGAACCUUUUACUGUUGCCAAGUUUUUUGCAACCCCCACUGUCAGCUGUGCAACCCCAUGGAGGGGAAGGGCUGCCCUAAGGGACUUUGAAGGACAGCCUGAGGGCUAAACCGCACCUUUUCCUUCAUCCUGGACUUACAGGGGUGUAUGCUGCUACACAAGGUACUUUGAAACUAUACUGUCCACACAGGUGGAAGCAUUACCCUCAUUAAGUCACUGUCUUUAUUGAUGAUGAUUGUUAUAAGGCCUGCCUGCGAUUUUAAAGACUAGUUCAGGCCCAACUAGGUUCGAAAUCUCCUUUAGCUUCUGCCCCUCAAUAGUUUAUGUUCUUUUACAAAGAAUAAUUUGGUUUAUAAAGAAUAACGAGGUUUCGAUAAGUGAAAUGAAAAUAUUUACCGUGGUUGUCACAGAAUCACAAAUUUGGACCUAGAAGGGAACUUGGCUGUCAUCUUGGGGGGUCUCAUUAGUAGUAGUAAAUGACAAGAGUUGGGAUUCGAACCCAGGUCCUCCCAUUGUGGCAUUCUGCCUUGACCUGCUGUGGAGGCCCAGCCUUUCAUUGGUGUUUGUACCUUUUUUUUUCUGCAGGAGGAGAAAGUGAAGCAAAUCCCUUGUCACAGCAUGAAUUGAUAAUACCUCAGUGGAGAACAGAGGGCCCAGAUGGAGAGAAGGAAAAGGUGGACAGAAGGCGCUGGUGGUUGCUGGUCUCGGCUGCUUUUUAUUAAGGAAGUCUGGUCAGCUGUGGAGCGAACUGUCCCUUUCUUGCUCACUGUCACUUGGUGUCGAACCUCUGCGCUCAGCCCUGCCUUGAACAUCUGUGGGACCCAGGCCCUUCUCUCAGGGAGCUGACAUUCUUUCUUUAUUGUUUUCAGCAUCCCCUCAAAGCUGAACUCAGGAUAACCGCAGAAGGGAAAGACCUCAUCUUGGACCUGGAGAAGAAUGAGUAAGUGGAUCGCUACAAUGUUUAGGAAAUGAACCAACUAACUUUUGUAACCCUGCGUGUCAAAUAGAGGAAGCAGGUGUUGGUGUUUUAGAAUGGAAAUAGCUAGCUCACAAUAAGAGUUCACAGCUCCUCUGAGGAAGCAGGUUGGAGUGGUAAGACUGAGUUCCUAGUACCUCGAUUCUAGUGCAGUGGAAGGGGC
ensembl:lncRNA